rnacentral:tRNA from 1 species
GGAAGGGCUGUGGUUCAGUGGCAGAGCACCUGCUCGGCAUGCAGGAGAUGCCAGGUUCGAUCCCUGGUGCCUCCA